UACGUAGGGUGCAAGCGUUAAUCGGAAUUACUGGGCGUAAAGCGUGCGUAGACGGUUAUUUAAGUCGGGUGUGAAAGCCCCGGGCUCAACCUGGGAAUUGCAUUCGAGACUGAAUAGCUAGGGUACGGUAGAGGGAAGCGGAAUUUCCGGUGUAGCGGUGAAAUGCGUAGAUAUCGGAAGGAACAUCAGUGGCGAAAGCGGCUUCCUGGACCAGUACCGACGUUCAGGCACGAAAGCGUGGGGAGCAAACAGGA
rnacentral:rRNA from 1 species